CAGAUUAUAGUUUAAUGAAAAUAUAAAGUUUGGGACUUUAAGAUUAGAGUCUGA
rnacentral:tRNA from 1 species